rnacentral:rRNA from 1 species
AGUGAACGUUGGCGGCGUGGAUUAGGCAUGCAAGUCGAGCGAGAACCGUAGCAAUACGGGGACAGCGGCGAAAGGGACAGUAAUGUGUAGGUACCUACCCCGAGGUCUGGGAUAGCUGCGGGAAGCUGCAGGUAAUACCGGAUAAUGUCUUCGGACCAAAGGUGUGAUUCCACCUUGGGAGGGGCCUGCAUCCUAUUAGCUAGUUGGCGGGGUAAUGGCCCACCAAGGCAACGAUGGGUAGCGGGUGUGAGAGCACGACCCGCGUCAUUGGGGCUGAGACACUGCCCAGACACCUGCGGGUGGCUGCAGUCGAGGAUCUUCGGCAAUGGGCGCAAGCCUGACCGAGCGACGCCGCGUGCGGGAUGAAGGCCUUCGGGUUGUAAACCGCUGUCGUAGAGGAGGAAAUGCAGGGGGGUUCUCCCUUCUGUUUGACCUAUUCUAGGAGGAAGGACGGGCUAAGUUCGUGCCAGCCGCCGCCGUAA